UAGAGAAUACCAAGGCGCUUGAGAGAACUCGGGUGAAGGAACUAGGCAAAAUGGUGCCGUAACUUCGGGAGAAGGCACGCUGAUAUGUAGGUGAAGCGACUUGCUCGUGGAGCUGAAAUCAGUCGAAGAUACCAGCUGGCUGCAACUGUUUAUUAAAAACACAGCACUGUGCAAACACGAAAGUGGACGUAUACGGUGUGACGCCUGCCCGGUGCCGGAAGGUUAAUUGAUGGGGUUAGCGGCAACGCGAAGCUCUUGAUCGAAGCCCCGGUAAACGGCGGCCGUAACUAUAACGGUCCUAAGGUAGCGAAAUUCCUUGUCGGGUAAGUUCCGACCUGCACGAAUGGCGUAAUGAUGGCCAGGCUGUCUCCACCCGAGACUCAGUGAAAUUGAACUCGCUGUGAAGAUGCAGUGUACCCGCGGCAAGACGGAAAGACCCCGUGAACCUUUACUAUAGCUUGACACUGAACAUUGAGCCUUGAUGUGUAGGAUAGGUGGGAGGCUUUGAAGUGUGGACGCCAGUCUGCAUGGAGCCGACCUUGAAAUACCACCCUUUAAUGUUUGAUGUUCUAACGUUGGCCCGUAAUCCGGGUUGCGGACAGUGUCUGGUGGGUAGUUUGACUGGGGCGGUCUCCUCCUAAAGAGUAACGGAGGAGCACGAAGGUUGGCUAAUCCUGGUCGGACAUCAGGAGGUUAGUGCAAUGGCAUAAGCCAGCUUGACUGCGAGCGUGACGGCGCGAGCAGGUGCGAAAGCAGGUCAUAGUGAUCCGGUGGUUCUGAAUGGAAGGGCCAUCGCUCAACGGAUAAAAGGUACUCCGGGGAUAACAGGCUGAUACCGCCCAAGAGUUCAUAUCGACGGCGGUGUUUGGCACCUCGAUGUCGGCUCAUCACAUCCUGGGGCUGAAGUAGGUCCCAAGGGUAUGGCUGUUCGCCAUUUAAAGUGGUACGCGAGCUGGGUUUAGAACGUCGUGAGACAGUUCGGUCCCUAUCUGCCGUGGGCGCUGGAGAACUGAGGGGGGCUGCUCCUAGUACGAGAGGACCGGAGUGGACGCAUCACUGGUGUUCGGGUUGUCAUGCCAAUGGCACUGCCCGGUAGCUAAAUGCGGAAGAGAUAAGUGCUGAAAGCAUCUAAGCACGAAACUUGCCCCGAGAUGAGUUCUCCCUGACUCCUUGAGGGUCCUGAAGGAACGUUGAAGACGACGACGUUGAUAGGCCGGGUGUGUAAGCGCAGCGAUGCGUUGAGCUAACCGGUACUAAUGAACCGUGAGGCUUAACCUU
rnacentral:rRNA from 1 species